GGGUGAUUAGCUCAGCUGGGAGAGCAUCUGCCUUACAAGCAGAGGGUCGGCGGUUCGAUCCCGUCAUCACC
rnacentral:tRNA from 1 species